rnacentral:rRNA from 1 species
UACAGAGGUGGCAAGCGUUGUUCGGAAUUACUGGGCGUAAAGGGCGCGUAGGCGGCCUUCUAAGUCAGACGUGAAAUCCCCCGGCUUAACCUGGGAACUGCGUCUGAUACUGGGAGGCUUGAGUAUGGGGAGAGGGAUGUAGAAUUCCAGGUGUAGCGGUGAAAUGCGUAGAUAUCUGGAGGAAUACCGGUGGCGAAGGCGGCAUCCUGGACCAUAAACUGACGCUGAGGCGCGAA